UGCCCCAUGGCUGAGUUGGUUACAGCGUCCGACUGUUACUUCCGGUUGGAAAUUACAUCGGAAGGUCGUGAGUUCGAGCCUCACUGGGGCAG